rnacentral:rRNA from 1 species
GAUGAACGCUGGCGGCGUGCCUAAUACAUGCAAGUCGAGCGAACGGACGAGAAGCUUGCUUCUCUGAUGUUAGCGGCGGACGGGUGAGUAACACGUGGAUAACCUACCUAUAAGACUGGGAUAACUUCGGGAAACCGGAGCUAAUACCGGAUAAUAUUUUGAACCGCAUGGUUCAAAAGUGAAAAACGGUCUUGCUGUCACUUAUAGAUGGAUCCGCGCUGCAUUAGCUAGUUGGUAAGGUAACGGCUUACCAAGGCAACGAUGCAUAGCCGACCUGAGAGGGUGAUCGGCCACACUGGAACUGAGACACGGUCCAGACUCCUACGGGAGGCAGCAGUAGGGAAUCUUCCGCAAUGGGCGAAAGCCUGACGGAGCAACGCCGCGUGAGUGAUGAAGGUCUUCGGAUCGUAAAACUCUGUUAUUAGGGAAGAACAUAUGUGUAAGUAACUGUGCACAUCUUGACGGUACCUAAUCAGAAAGCCACGGCUAACUACGUG